rnacentral:rRNA from 1 species
CCCUUAGAUGUCCUGGGCCGCACGCGUGCUACACUGACGCCUACAGCGAGUACUUCCCAGCCCCGAGAGGUGGCUGGUAAUCAGCAAUAGGCGUCGUGAUGGGGAUAGAUCUUUGGAAUUAUGGAUCUUGAGCGAGGAAUGCCUAGUAAGCGCAGGUCAUUAGCCUGCGCUGAUUAAGUCCCUGCCCUUUGUACACACCGCCCGUCGCUCCUACCGAUUUCGAGUGGUCCGGUGAAUCUUUCGGACUGCGCGCGGCCUCGUGCCGUGUCGCGGAAAGUCAGGUAAACCUUAUCACUUAGAGGAAGGAGAAGUCGUAACA